UGCCGAUGCUUGGAAUAAUGAAUGGAUGGUGCUAUCUCGUUAGGAUUUUGCCAUCACAUCCAAUCAAGAAAAUCAAGGUUGGACUCAAGGUAGAUUAUCAUGGUCACCAACUACCAGAUGUGAUGUUAUGUCAGUCUGCUGGCAAGAGAUGGAUAAGCAAGGUAAGUUCAUUAAGCAGGAUUUUGUCAGCCUGGUAUUCUUUCCACUUCUCACUCUCGGGGCUUCUACCAGACUACGAUAAUUAGGCGGGACAUGCGGGUUUGCCAAUCUGGAGAAACACAGUUAUGGGAUGGCGACGGUGGGGUGAGCGCUAUGAGGUCAGGUGUGUCGAGGACCUCACCCCCUCCUAGGCACCUCCAUCCUCGUCAAUGCCGCCAACUUCUGUGCCUCAUCCUA